rnacentral:lncRNA from 1 species
AUGGCUACACUACCAACACCUGUUCGAUAAAGACCUAUGGCCAUUAAAGGAUUAGGUCCACCUCCCUGGCCUCUUUAAGCUGGAAGAACAAGAAGCCUUUCUCCAGCCCAUAAGUGGCCAUCUCUCUUUUUAGUCCCAUCCGAAAUCAGAAUUUUCUAGCCACCAGAUCCGGCACCACCCGCCUGUCUAGACUCCUCACUACCACCAUUGUGGUUGCCCAAUGCUCUGAGCUUAGCCUCAGAACCUCCUCUCAUGGCUCAACGACCUUCAGGAACCACCAAAUUAGCUCAUCUACCUCCUCCAAAGAUGGCACCAGCAAGAUCCAGAUUGUACGCCCUUGCACCGUCCUCCGUCAGCUCGAUUCUGGCCAAUCAUAUGCUUUCAAGAUCCUAGGGCAGUCCCUUGGGUUACUUGGCAUCUCCUCCGACGAUGAUGUAAGCUCCAGCCCAAUAGAUCGCCAGCAAUCACAUUAAAAUGGGCCAAAGCGGUAAUCUCAAAGCAUACAAGAAAUACAUAACG